GGGUCAGUAGGUUGGUCGUGCCACCGGUACGUACUGGUCUCACUGAUUCCUCCUUCCUGAAGAACCGUAAUGCCAUUAAUUUGGUGUUGCGGGGAAACAGGACUGUUACUUUGAAAAAAUUAGAGUGUUUAAAGCAAGCUAACGCCUGAAUACAUUAGCAUGGGAUAAUGAAAUAGGACGAUCGAUCCUAUUUUGUUGGCUUCUAGGAUUGACGUA
rnacentral:rRNA from 1 species